rnacentral:rRNA from 1 species
UACAGAGGUCCCCGAGCGUUGUUCGGAUUCAUUGGGCGUAAAGGGUGCGUAGGCGGCUUCCUAAGUUUGAUGUGAAAUCCUGGGGCUCAACCCUGGAACUGCAUUGAAUACUGGGAGGCUAGAGUACUGGAGAGGAAACUGGAAUUUACGGUGUAGCAGUGAAAUGCGUAGAGAUCGUAAGGAAGACCAGUGGCGAAGGCGAGUUUCUGGACAGUUACUGACGCUGAGGCACGAAGGCCAGGGGAGCAAACGGG